AGGACGAACGCUUGCGGCGUGCCUAAGAAAUGCAAGUCGAACGAGGGCUUCGGCCCUAGUGGCGAACGGUCGCGUAACACGUGGGCAACCUGCCCUGAAGCGGGGGACAACAGUCCGAAAGGACUGCUAAUACCGCAUGUGGAUCCGGACGGCAUCGUCUGUAUCUAAAGACUUCGGUCACUUCAGGAUGGGCCCGCGGCCUAUCAGCUAGUUGGUGGGGUAACGGCCUACCAAGGCUUCGACGGGUAGCUGGUCUGAGAGGACGGCCAGCCGGAUUGGGACUGAGAUACGGCCCAGACUCCUACGGGGGGCAGCAAUUAGGAAUCUUGCGCAAUGGGGGCAACCCUGACGCAGCGACGCCGCGUGAAGGAGAAAUCCUUCGGGAUGUAAACUUCUUUUAUUUGGAAGAAGAAUGUGACGGUACCAAAUGAAUAAGCCCCGGCUAACUACGCGCCAGCAGCCGC
rnacentral:rRNA from 1 species